rnacentral:tRNA from 1 species
GUUAUAAUAGUUUAUAUUAAAACGUUGAUUUUGUAAAUCAAAAUAAGAAUACUUCUUUAUAACU